rnacentral:rRNA from 1 species
UACAGAGGUCUCGAGCGUUGUUCGGAUUCAUUGGGCGUAAAGGGCGCGUAGGCGGCGGGGUAAGUCUGGUGUGAAAUCUCGGAGCUCAACUCCGAAAUUGCACUGGAUACUGCUCUGCUAGAGGGCUGGAGAGGAGAUCGGAAUUCACGGUGUAGCAGUGAAAUGCGUAGAUAUCAGGAGGAACACCGGUGGCGAAGGCGGCUACCUGGACAGAGUCUGACGCUGAGGCACGAAAGCUAGGGGAGCAAACAGG